UAGUCUCGCCAUUGCUGUAGG
rnacentral:piRNA from 1 species